rnacentral:rRNA from 1 species
CGUGUAGGCGGCUUGAUAAGUCCGGUGUGAAAUCUUGGGGCUCAACCCCAAGCCUGCAUCGGAUACUGUCUCGCUCGAGUUCGGGAGGGGAGAGCGGAAUUCCUAGUGUAGCGGUGAAAUGCGCAGAUAUUAGGAAGAACACCAGUGGCGAAGGCGGCUCUCUGGAACGAUACUGACGCUGAGACACGAAAGCCAGGGGGAGCAAACG